rnacentral:rRNA from 1 species
ACAUCCAGAGAACUUAGCAGAGAUGCUUUGGUGCCUUCGGGAACUCUGAGACAGGUGCUGCAUGGCUGUCGUCAGCUCGUGUUGUGAAAUGUUGGGUUAAGUCCCGCAACGAGCGCAACCCUUAUCCUUUGUUGCCAGCGGUUCGGCCGGGAACUCAAAGGAGACUGCCGGUGAUAAACCAGAGGAAGGUGGGGAUGACGUCAAGUCAUCAUGGCCCUUACGGCCAGGGCUACACACGUGCUACAAUGGCGCAUACAAAGAGAAGCGACCUCGCGAGAGCAAGCGGACCUCAUAAAGUGCGUCGUAGUCCGGAUUGGAGUCUGCAACUCGACUCCAUGAAGUCGGAAUCGCUAGUAAUCGUAGAUCAGAAUGCUACGGUGAAUACGUUCCCGGGCCUUGUACACACCGCCCGUCACACCAUGGGAGUGGGUUGCAAAAGAAGUAGGUAGCUUAACCUUCGGGAGGGCGCUUACCACUUUGUGAUUCAUGACUGGGGUGAAGUCGUAACAAGGUAAGCGUACGUGU